UAUGUGAUCGUCUCUCGCAUAUCAAUAAGCGGAGGAAAAGAAACUAACUAAGGAUUCCCUUAGUAACGGACGAGUGAAGCGGGAAGAGCUCAAAUUUGAAAUCUUAAAGGGUUUCCCUUUACGAAUUGUAGUUUAAAGAAGUGUUUUCUGUUGAGGUUUUGGUAAAAGUUCUUUGGAAUAGGACAUCAUAGAGGGUGAGAAUCCCGUAUUUGACCUUUACUUUCAACUUUGUGAUACACUUUCAAAGAGUCGGAUUGUUUGGGAAUGCAGUCCAAAAUGGGUGGUAAAUUUCAUCUAAAGCUAAAUAUUGGCGAGAGACCGAUAGCGAACAAGUACCGUGAGGGAAAGAUGAAAAGAACUUUGAAAAGAGAGUUAAACAGUACGUGAAAUUGUCAAAAGGGAAGCGUUUGACACCAGUGUUGUUUUUCUGAAAAUCAAUUAAAGAACUGUCUAUGCUAAGUUGUUAGACUUUAUCAGCUAACUGUUUAGUUUUGAGCUUUUCUUUAAUGCACUUUUCAGUUAACAAGUCAACAUCAAUUUCUUUUGCUGUAAAAAAGCUUGAGGAAGGUGGCUUGAGAUUCGUCUUAAGUGUUUAUAGCCUCUUGCCUAUGCAGUCGGAGAGAUUGAGGUCUGCAGCGUAGAUCCUUCGGGGCUAAAUGCAUUUGUGCUAAGUUAUAGCAUUUUAUAGACAACUUGUUGACUAUGAUUUGUCUUGUAGCUUACUCGCUUAUGUUAUUUUACCUACGCUUAGGAUGUUGACACACGCGCGUGCUCG
rnacentral:rRNA from 1 species